UGGGGAAUAUUGCACAAUGGGCGCAAGCCUGAUGCAGCCAUGCCGCGUGUAUGAAGAAGGCCUUCGGGUUGUAAAGUACUUUCAGUCGGGAGGAAGGUGGUAAGGUUAAUAACCUUGGCAAUUGACGUUACCGACAGAAGAAGCACCGGCUAACUCCGUGCCAGCAGCCGCGGUAAUACGGAGGGUGCAAGCGUUAAUUGGAAUUACUGGGCGUAAAGCGCACGCAGGCGGUUGAUUGAGUCAGAUGUGAAAUCCCCGGGCUUAACCCGGGAAUUGCAUCUGAUACUGGUCAGCUAGAGUCUUGUAGAGGGGGGUAGAAUUCCAUGUGUAGCGGUGAAAUGCGUAGAGAUGUGGAGGAAUACCGGUGGCGAAGGCGGCCCCCUGGACAAAGACUGACGCUCAGGUGCGAAAGCGUGGGGAGCAAACAGG
rnacentral:rRNA from 1 species